UGGGGGAUAUUGCACAAUGGGGGGAACCCUGAUGCAGCGACGCCGCGUGGGUGAAGAAGCGCCUCGGCGCGUAAAGCCCUGUCAGCAGGGAAGAAAAUGACGGUACCUGAAGAAGAAGCCCCGGCUAACUACGUGCCAGCAGCCGCGGUAAUACGUAGGGGGCAAGCGUUAUCCGGAUUUACUGGGUGUAAAGGGGGCGCAGACGGCGAUGCAAGCCAGGAGUGAAAGCCCGGGGCCCAACCCCGGGACUGCUCUUGGAACUGCGUGGCUGGAGUGCAGGAGGGGCAGGCGGAAUUCCUGGUGUAGCGGUGAAAUGCGUAGAUAUCAGGAGGAACACCGGUGGCGAAGGCGGCCUGCUGGACUGCAACUGACGUUGAGGCCCGGAAGCGUGGGGAGCAAACAGG
rnacentral:rRNA from 1 species